rnacentral:rRNA from 1 species
GGGUUGUGAGGUUAAGCGACUAAGCGUACACGGUGGAUGCCCUGGCAGUCAGAGGCGAUGAAGGGCGUGCUAAUCUGCGAUAAGCGCCGGUAAGGUGAUAUGAACCGUUAUAACCGGCGAUACCCGAAUGGGGAAACCCAGUGUGAUUCGUCACACUAUCAUUAACUGAAUCCAUAGGUUAAUGAGGCGAACCGGGGGAACUGAAACAUCUAAGUACCCCGAGGAAAAGAAAUCAACCGAGAUUCCCCCAGUAGCGGCGAGCGAACGGGGAGGAGCCCAGAGCCUGAAUCAGCAUGUGUGUUAGUGGAAGCGUCUGGAAAGGCGCGCGAUACAGGGUGACAGCCCCGUACACAAAAGCGCAUGUGCUGUGAGCUCGAUGAGUAGGGCGGGACACGUGGUAUCCUGUCUGAAUAUGGGGGGACCAUCCUCCAAGGCUAAAUACUCCUGACUGACCGAUAGUGAACCAGUACCGUGAGGGAAAGGCGAAAAGAACCCCGGCGAGGGGAGUGAAAAAGAACCUGAAACCGUGUACGUACAAGCAGUGGGAGCCCCACCACCAAAGCAUUCUCUGGUGUUGAAGGCCCUGCAAAGCAGCAUCGCGGUGGCGGAGCGUCGUUUGCGACGCCCAACACACAAAACAAGCGGUGAAUGCUUUGGGGUGGGGUGACUGCGUACCUUUUGUAUAAUGGGUCAGCGACUUAUAUUCUGUAGCAAGGUUAACCGAAUAGGGGAGCCGGAGGGAAACCGAGUCUUAAUUGGGCGUUAAGUUGCAGGGUAUAGACCCGAAACCCGGUGAUCUAGCCAUGGGCAGGUUGAAGGUUGGGUAACACUAACUGGAGGACCGAACCGACUAAUGUUGAAAAAUUAGCGGAUGACCUGUGGCUGGGGGUGAAAGGCCAAUCAAACCGGGAGAUAGCUGGUUCUCCCCGAAAGCUAUUUAGGUAGCGCCUCGUGAAUUCAUCUCCGGGGGUAGAGCACUGUUUCGGCUAGGGGGCCAUCCCGGCUUACCAACCCGAUGCAAACUGCGAAUACCGGAGAAUGUUAUCACGGGAGACACACGGCGGGUGCUAACGUCCGUCGUGAAGAGGGAAACAACCCAGACCGCCAGCUAAGGUCCCAAAGUCAUGGUUAAGUGGGAAACGAUGUGGGAAGGCCCAGACAGCCAGGAUGUUGGCUUAGAAGCAGCCAUCAUUUAAAGAAAGCGUAAUAGCUCACUGGUCGAGUCGGCCUGCGCGGAAGAUGUAACGGGGCUAAACCAUGCACCGAAGCUGCGGCAGCGANUGCUGGAGGUAUCAGAAGUGCGAAUGCUGACAUAAGUAACGAUAAAGCGGGUGAAAAGCCCGCUCGCCGGAAGACCAAGGGUUCCUGUCCAACGUUAAUCGGGGCAGGGUGAGUCGACCCCUAAGGCGAGGCCGAAAGGCGUAGUCGAUGGGAAACGGGUUAAUAUUCCCGUACUUGGUGUUACUGCGAAGGGGGGACGGAGAAGGCUAUGUUGGCCGGGCGACGGUUGUCCCGGUUUAAGCGUGUAGGUGUGUGUUCCAGGUAAAUCCGGUUCACUUUAACACUGAGGCGUGACGACGAGGCACUACGGUGCUGAAGCAACAAAUGCCCUGCUUCCAGGAAAAGCCUCUAAGCAUCAGGUAACACGAAAUCGUACCCCAAACCGACACAGGUGGUCAGGUAGAGAAUACCAAGGCGCUUGAGAGAACUCGGGUGAAGGAACUAGGCAAAAUGGUGCCGUAACUUCGGGAGAAGGCACGCUGACACGUAGGUGAAGUGAUUUACUCAUGGAGCUGAAGUCAGUCGAAGAUACCAGCUGGCUGCAACUGUUUAUUAAAAACACAGCACUGUGCAAACACGAAAGUGGACGUAUACGGUGUGACGCCUGCCCGGUGCCGGAAGGUUAAUUGAUGGGGUCAGCGUAAGCGAAGCUCCUGAUCGAAGCCCCGGUAAACGGCGGCCGUAACUAUAACGGUCCUAAGGUAGCGAAAUUCCUUGUCGGGUAAGUUCCGACCUGCACGAAUGGCGUAAUGAUGGCCAGGCUGUCUCCACCCGAGACUCAGUGAAAUUGAACUCGCUGUGAAGAUGCAGUGUACCCGCGGCAAGACGGAAAGACCCCGUGAACCUUUACUAUAGCUUGACACUGAACAUUGAGCCUUGAUGUGUAGGAUAGGUGGGAGGCUUUGAAGUGUGGACGCCAGUCUGCAUGGAGCCGACCUUGAAAUACCACCCUUUAAUGUUUGAUGUUCUAACGUGGACCCGUAAUCCGGGUUGCGGACAGUGUCUGGUGGGUAGUUUGACUGGGGCGGUCUCCUCCUAAAGAGUAACGGAGGAGCACGAAGGUUGGCUAAUCCUGGUCGGACAUCAGGAGGUUAGUGCAAUGGCAUAAGCCAGCUUGACUGCGAGCGUGACGGCGCGAGCAGGUGCGAAAGCAGGUCAUAGUGAUCCGGUGGUUCUGAAUGGAAGGGCCAUCGCUCAACGGAUAAAAGGUACUCCGGGGAUAACAGGCUGAUACCGCCCAAGAGUUCAUAUCGACGGCGGUGUUUGGCACCUCGAUGUCGGCUCAUCACAUCCUGGGGCUGAAGUAGGUCCCAAGGGUAUGGCUGUUCGCCAUUUAAAGUGGUACGCGAGCUGGGUUUAGAACGUCGUGAGACAGUUCGGUCCCUAUCUGCCGUGGGCGCUGGAGAACUGAGGGGGGCUGCUCCUAGUACGAGAGGACCGGAGUGGACGCAUCACUGGUGUUCGGGUUGUCAUGCCAAUGGCACUGCCCGGUAGCUAAAUGCGGAAGAGAUAAGUGCUGAAAGCAUCUAAGCACGAAACUUGCCCCGAGAUGAGUUCUCCCUGAGACUUAGAGUCUCCUGAAGGAACGUUGAAGACGACGACGUUGAUAGGCCGGGUGUGUAAGCGCAGCGAUGCGUUGAGCUAACCGGUACUAAUGAACCGUGAGGCUUAACCUUACAACGCCGAAG